CCUACGGGGGGCAGCAGUGAGGAAUAUUGGUCAAUGGGCGCGAGCCUGAACCAGCCAAGUCGCGUGAGGGAAGACGGUCCUAUGGAUUGUAAACCUCUUUUGUCGGGGAGCAAAAGACGCCACGCGUGGCGUUCCGAGAGUACCCGAAGAAAAAGCAUCGGCUAACUCCGUGCCAGCAGCCCCGGUAAUACGGAGGAUGCGAGCGUUAUCCGGAUUUAGUGGGGUGAAAGGGUGCGCAGGCGGAAGAUCAAGGCAGCGGUAAAAUUGAGAGGCUCAACCUCUUCGAGCCGUUGAAACUGGUUUUCUUGAGUGAGGGAGAAGUAUGCGGAAUGCGUGGUGUAGCGGUGAAAUGCAUAGAUAUAACGCAGAACUCCGAUUGCGAAGGCAGCAUACCGGCGCUCAACUGACGCUCAUGCACGAAAGUGUGGGUAUCGAACAGGAUUAGAUACCCGAGUAGUC
rnacentral:rRNA from 1 species